CCUACGGGUGGCAGCAGUGAGGAAUAUUGGUCAAUGGACGAGAGUCUGAACCAGCCAAGUAGCGUGAAGGAUGACUGCCCUAUGGGUUGUAAACUUCUUUUAUAUGGGAAUAAAACGUUCCACGUGUGUGAUUUUGUAUGUACCAUAUGAAUAAGGAUCGGCUAACUCCGUGCCAGCAGCCGCGGUAAUACGGAGGAUCCGAGCGUUAUCCGGAUUUAUUGGGUUUAAAGGGAGCGUAGGUGGAUUGUUAAGUCAGUUGUGAAAGUUUGCGGCUCAACCGUAAAAUUGCAGUUGAAACUGGCAGUCUUGAGUACAGUAGAGGUGGGCGGAAUUCGUGGUGUAGCGGUGAAAUGCUUAGAUAUCACGAAGAACUCCGAUUGCGAAGGCAGUUCACUGGACUGCAACUGACACUGAGGCUCGAAAGUGUGGGUAUCAAACAGGAUUAGAUACCCCAGUAGUC
rnacentral:rRNA from 1 species